AGGACAUUCUGCUAGGAAAUAAUGCAAGCACCAGAGAAAAUUUCAAAAAUGAUGGUGUCGUCUGAAGAAAGAAAAAAAAAAAAGCAAAAAUCUGGAUGAGAAAUUAGGAGUUUCCUUGGGACCACAAUAUACUAAAGGGUGGAUUUCAGAUUGAUUCUAAGACUGCUUCACUAAUCGAAGGUUCCCAGUGAGAUGGAGACCUGAAUCAACAUCCUACUUGAAUGCGGACGAGUAAAAACUUUUUCACAGAUUAGCACCUAUGUCAACAGAAAUGAAAACGAGAUGAAGGAAAGACAUCAGAAAAAUGACCCGGGGACUCUGACUAAGGGAGUGAAAGAAAAUGUCUUCAAAGACGACUCUCAGGUACUUCCAUAAACAUCAGGCUAACUCUUCUUUACCUCCACAAAAGAAGAAAACCAAUGCACCCACGAAUGUCCAGCUAGCCUCUGAAAUACUCUGACUCCAGGUCUUAAAAAGACCUUUCCAACAACUAGAUAUGCCUCUGGGCGGAUUCAGAUUCUCUUGCUUAUUUGCAACUGUGUGACUCAACUGAACGUUGCUUGGCCUUAGUGGUGAACUAGCCCUGCCCAGCUUAUAGAUUUGAGAGGUAGUUUUCCUUUAUUAGCUUUUUGAAUGUACAAUGCAAUAGGCUCCAGGGAAUUUGAAUAGAACAUCAACUUCAUGCCCCCCAUUGCAUUCCUCUGGCCUUAGCCUCAUGGUUUCAAAUUCAUAACACAGCACAUUCCUUCCUGCUCCUGCCUGACCCCUCUUUACAAAGGACUCUCGCUGGAAAGGACAAACUUCCUCAGGCUCUCCGUGACCUACCGCUCUUCCACUGAUGAGAUGCCCUUAUUUGAUGUUUAUCUGUUUGUUGGUCUUUAAUUUGGAUUGCAUGUUUGCCUAGUUGCUGUUUUAGCUUUUGUGGUAUAUUUUUAAAUCUCUUUUUAAAGUUUCCUAAGUAGUGGGAUUAUCGACAAAUGCCUCGGAGAAUCACAGCCUCAGUCAUUCUCAGCUGAGAAUGCUAUAUUCAACCUGACGUGAAGCUCCUAACUUUCUCCUUUUCCUUGGUAAUGUCUCUCAGAUAUUUAUCUUUCUAUUCCCAGAGCUUCCCUAGACUUUUAAAAUGG
rnacentral:lncRNA from 1 species